ACAUGACACUGUCAUGACACAUGAACCCUAACCAUACCUUGUCAUGACAAAAUAAGCACGAAUGAUACUCUCUG